rnacentral:rRNA from 1 species
UACGUAGGUGGCGAGCGUUGUCCGGAUUUACUGGGUGUAAAGGGCGUGUAGGCGGAUGAUCAAGUCAGGUGUGAAAUUUCGGGGCUUAACCCCGAACCUGCAUUUGAAACUGGUCACCUUGAGUGUCGGAGAGGAAAGCGGAAUUCCUAGUGUAGCGGUGAAAUGCGUAGAUAUUAGGAGGAACACCAGUGGCGAAGGCGGCUUUCUGGACGAUAACUGACGCUGAGGCGCGAAAGCGUGGGGAGCAAACAGG